UCGGGAAUAUUGGGCAAUGGAGGCAACUCUGACCCAGCAACGCCGCGUGAAGGAUGAAGGCCUUCGGGUCGUAAACUUCUGUCGAGAGGGAAGAACUACGUACGGUCAAUAUCCGUGCGUUUGACGGUACCUCCAAAGGAAGCACCGGCUAACUCCGUGCCAGCAGCCGCGGUAAUACGGAGGGUGCAAGCGUUGUUCGGAUUUAUUGGGCGUAAAGCGAGUGUAGGCGGUUCGACAAGUCGGGUGUGAAAUCCCAGGGCCCAACCCUGGAACUGCAUCCGAUACUGUCGGGCUAGAAUUCCGGAGAGGGUGGCGGAAUUCCCGGUGUAGGGGUGAAAUCCGUAGAUAUCGGGAGGAACACCAGUGGCGAAGGCGGCCACCUGGACGGUAAUUGACGCUGAGACUCGAAAGCGUGGGUAGCAAACAGGAUUAGAUACCCCCGUAGUCC
rnacentral:rRNA from 1 species